rnacentral:lncRNA from 10 species
AUUACUAUGGAUAUCUUAAAAGCCUGUGUCAGACGAUUUGUUGACCUUUCCCAAGUUCUACUACUGCCAAUUUUGACAUAGAUUUCAUUCCCGAUCUAGACUGCCUACUUGUUGUACUGCCCAGGUCAUGCAGAAAAUUGGUGUUUACAUCAGACUUACCUAAGAUUUUCUUCCCUAAUACAAAUGACUUGAAUACAUCUCAUUUUCUUCCAGAGAGAUAGCUCCCUCCACUUCAGUCUAUAAUACAAACGAAGAUCAGCCAUUUGUUGCAUCCGAGGUAAACUGGCCUGGAUUUGUGGUCUGAGUUCACCAUAUUUCCACAGUAUGACAUUGAAGAAGAAAGGAAUUUUACUUGUCACUUGAUAGUUAUUGUCUCAUGACACUAAGCUAUGACUUGGAGACAAAGGCCAAGUCAAGCCCCACUGUGAGAUUCAAUGAUUCCUUGGUGGAGAAAGAAGCAUUUGAUGUGGAGCCUGACACACCUGAAUGGAUGAACUAAUAAAUGAUUAAGAAGUAAGUACACCAGCAAGUUUCUUGUGCCUGGACUAAAGAUGGAGUAUAGGAUGAGUAGUAGAAGAUGUAACAACUGGGACUGGAUUACAGAUGGUCUUUGUAUUAGUCUAUUCUCACACUGCUAUAAAGAAAUACCUGAGACUGGGUCAUUUAUAAAGAAAAGAGAUUUAAUUGGCUCAUGAUCCUGCAUGCUGUACAGGAAGCAUGAUGCUGUUGUCUGCUUGGCUUCUGGGGAGGCCUCAGGAAACUUAACAAUCAUGGCGGAAGGCGAAGGGGGCACAGGCAUGUCACGUGGCCAGAGCAGGAGCAAAAGAGGAGGAGGAGGUGCUACACGUUAAACAUCCACAUCUCCCAAGACUCACUCACUAUCGUGAGGAUAGUACCAAGGGGAUGGUGCUAAGCCAUUUGUGAGAAAUCUGCCCCGUGAUCAAAUCACCUUCUACCAGGCCCCACCUCCAACACUGGAGAUUACAAUUCCACAUGAGAUUUGGGUGGGGACACAGAUUCAAACCAUAUCGGUCCUGUGGGCAAGGCAGUGCCCUGAAGACUUUAAAGUAAGAGAAGAACAUGACUCCGUUGGUGCACAGUGCAUCUUGCUGGAUGCUGGGUGCUUGGAGAACUGCUGGUUCCGGGUGGGCGCAGGCAAAGUCCAUUAUUUAUAAUUUUAUAUUAUUUGUAGCACCUAGCAUGGUGUUAGACCCAUAGUAGAUGUUUAAUAAAUAUUUAAUGAAUGACUGCUUUACCUGCUUAAUUAUGUAAAAGUCUUAUCUGAAAAUAUCAAGAUUUAAAAAAACCCACAAAUAUAAAAUUUAACUAUAGAUGUCACAUCUCACAACGACUUUCAUCUUUGAUUUUAUCUUCUCAAAUAACAUUUAUAACAUACCUAAUCUGUUGCCAAACAUAUCAUAGGCAAUUCAGAUAUAAAUGAAAUAAAAAGGAUCCCUUUGCUUUAGAAGCAUGGCAUUUAGUUAGAGAAACAAGACAUAUCCUUAGGUAAAACUCCUAAAUGACAAAACAGAACAAAUCUUACUACAUACAAAAUGAUCUCUAAGGGGAAAGAUCAUUGUGAGAUGGUUUCUUAGGAAUAAAUUUGCAAAAAGUUGGAAUUUUAUGAUAUAUUUAUUAAAUUAAGUUUAGCAUUUAAUACAGAUUUUCCAUUUGAUUUUAAAGUAAAACAGUCUCAGGCGAGGGAAACAAGUGAGCAAACGUUCACAGAAGGUAAAAAGAGGUAAAGUGUCAGAGGCCAAAUUUUAUAUUCAGAAAAACUGACUCAUCGUAGUGAGAACUAUUUGAGAGCUAUGCAUUUAAAACCUACCACUAAAAAAUAGGUGUAUAUUGUCUUUAGUGAUUCAUAGUACAUUUACAAUCACAUGUCAGUCACUGAGGGCAGCUGCAAUUUGCAUCUCAAAAACACAGAAUGUCCUUAAAGGAAAAAAUCAUUGAAACACAUCAUUCAAGAGCCUCCUGGAAGGGAAUUUUUAAUUCACUCAUUGGGUUUUAAGUAAAUGGAAGCUUACUCAAUGAACAUUUAAAACUAAUAGUUUUCUAGUAAUCGUAAUGUAUUGUUAAUAAUCUCAGAAUACUUUAUCUCACUCACAUUCUAUGGAUCAAAAGUUGGUAAAUGUGUACCCUAGCCUUGGAAAAAUGGUUUAGUAAGAACAAUUGCAUUUGCUUUAGGGUGUGUUCAAGUGGUAGCCAUGCAAGUUAGUUCACGUCUUAUAAUAUAUUUCCUUAUCUUUAUAAUGGACUACUGAUAAUAUAAACCUGUUUUCCUCAGUUUUUCCAAAGCCCAAUACACAAUUUUUUUCUCUACUUUAUUCAGUGCCUUCACUCCAAAUAAUUAGAUUGUUGUUAGUCAUUUGAAGCAGAAAUGUGUUUUAUUCUUAUGUGUUGUACACUGUAUAGGUACAAACUGAUAAAUACCUUUGCUGACCAAUUAACCAAAAACCCUCCUCUCUUUUGCCCUUUUUCAGUGGAGGCUACAGCUGUACACAGGUAACUGUUCUUCUGGACAUUGUUUGUUCUCUUUGUAGAAAGUAGAUAAUUUCAAAACAAGGUGGUUACUGUUACUGAAAUUGUAAAUUAUGUAGGGGCUGUCUGUUUUAUGUCUGAUGUAUUUGUUAAUAUUUAGAAUUCCUAUUUCUGAAAAAUAUGUCAAGCUUCUUAUUACAAUACAGAAUUGUAUUGUAAUGUAUAUAUUACAUUAUGUAUACAUAA